rnacentral:tRNA from 1 species
AAAUUUGUAGCGAGCCGCAAUUAGUUUCGACCUAAGUUAUGGUGGAAUUAUUAAACCACCCAAAUUUA